CAGGUCUUGCACUGCCUCAUUUCAUUAAGUACACUUAGUCACCUCAAUAUCUUCCUUCUUCUGGGGGAGAGCAUACUGACUUCUGAUGCAGAUGACCAAGCCUCUGUUCCAGUCAUCAGGAUAAAGUGAUGUGGAGAAGGACUAGUCUUCUUUUCCAUUACAGUGACUUCUUUUAUCAUAGUUAAGUGGCAUCACCUGAUGGCAUUUUCACAAGUUGCUUUGCUGCAAUGCCCAACAGCGCUCACCCACAGCCAUGGGCUCCACAGUUAUACAGCCAUCCUGCAGUGGCACACUUCAUAUGGAGUACAUCUUUCUGGGCUAUGAGGGCAUCAGACUGCCUGACAGCACUGCUCAGAGAAGCUGGCUAAAGGAUGCUUUGCCAGAAUUUAGUGUUGGCUUGCAGAACGUCACUGUCUUCUCCAUGUAUCAGUAACAUACCUGGAGGAGAUAGAAUUGGCUACAAACUAUGUUAGCUAGAAGCUACCUACAAUGAUCAUUUAGUCCAACUGCCUAACCACUUAAGGGCUGACAAAAUUAGAGCAUCUUAUUAAGGGCAUUGUCCAAAUGGGGUACUGUCCAAAUGCCUCUUAAACACAGACAGGCUUGGGGUAUCGACCACCUCUCUAGGAAGCCUGUCCCAGUGUCUGACCACCUUCUCAAUAAAGAAAUGCUUCCUCAUGUCCAGUCUAGAUGUCUUUCAAAGGUGGCUUCCUUGAUAUUCAUCCCAUUUUAUCACUUCAGGAUCUCCAAGGGAUGAAGUACAUUUCAGCAGCUAAGUGAUAGAGCUGAGAAUUUUAAUUCAGUUUCCCCCAAAGCAAUUGAGAACAUAAUGUUAAACCCAGUUCUGGGGCCCAACCUGGAACUCAUAAGGAUCCCCCAGGGUUUCAAGGUCUCGUGAAACAUUACAAUAUUGCAGGAUGCCUGCAUGCUGUUUAGAUCUUCUCUGGCGGUCUUUAACGGCCAGUAAAGGAGAUUCCCUUUUAGCUUGCACUACACAAGGACUAAAAUGUCACUUUCCUAAAGCACUUAUGGUCUAGACAGACAUGAAGAAUUCAGGAAGUAAAAGAGGAAACGAAAACACAAGCACAGAAAAUAUGGUGAUUAGGUGACAAGGUCCUGUCAGUUUUAAGAUGUUUUGUGGCCAUCUAUGAUUGGAGUUGUUUUGUGGAAGAGGACAUGACCUAAAGAAAAGAUAAAGGAGGACAUGAGAAAAGGGAGGACAGGAUAUCAUGAAUAAGUAUGCAUGAAGAAAGCUGAAGUGAAAGUUUUCUCACAUCUCUUUUCCCUAGUUUAAGUGCCAUCCAUACACAUUUAUGUUGCAGUACUUAAAUAAGAGCUGUCAGGCCUAACACAUUUUUGCCUGAAUUAUUCAUAAAUCUGUAUGAUCACAAGAGAAGAAGGAGUUAUUUGGAUUAAACUAAUUUUCAUUAACAUAACUGGCAUAUAAUUACUAGUUUCAUUCAAGUAACUUACCUUAGCACAGGUUCUGCAGCAACCAUAAUAGACAUAUAUGUUCUUUAAAAAAAGUUCUGAAAGCUUAAUUUUCUCCUAGAAUAGACCUACCAAGCCUCUUCCUGUUUGCCUUUUGCACACAAUUAACAUUUCAUUUAAUAUUUCUAUAUUCCAGGUAGAUGCCAGAAGAGAAAUUGGUCCUAAAGCAGUAAUCACUAGCAGUCAUGUGAAGAAUGACAGGCUAACCAUGGAAAGUAAUUGAAAUUCAUCUCUGCUAUUGCAUCUAUGGAUUACACUGUUAAAAAGCAAUUUGUUGCUACAAGCAGUUACUUCCAAAAUAAACCAGCGAGGUCAAA